GACGAACGCUGGCGGCGUGCUUAACACAUGCAAGUCGAACGGUAAGGCCCUUCGGGGUACACGAGUGGCGAACGGGUGAGUAACACGUGGGUGAUCUGCCCCGCACUUCGGGAUAAGCCUGGGAAACUGGGUCUAAUACCGGAUAGGACCACUGCCUGCAUGGGUGGUGGUGGAAAGCUUUUGCGGUGUGGGAUGGGCCCGCGGCCUAUCAGCUUGUUGGUGGGGUGAUGGCCUACCAAGGCGACGACGGGUAGCCGGCCUGAGAGGGUGACCGGCCACACUGGGACUGAGAUACGGCCCAGACUCCUACGGGAGGCAGCAGUGGGGAAUAUUGCACAAUGGGCGCAAGCCUGAUGCAGCGACGCCGCGUGAGGGAUGACGGCCUUCGGGUUGUAAACCUCUUUCAGCACCGACGAAGCGCAAGUGACGGUAGGUGCAGAAGAAGGACCGGCUAACUCUGUGCCAGCAGCCGCCGUAACAC
rnacentral:rRNA from 1 species